ACACGAGCACAUCUAACCUCUUCUUCAUCUCAACUCCAACUUAAUUAUUUUAAUUAUAAAUUGUCUCCAUCUACUGUAUAUCUCUCUCUCUCUCUGGACUAUUUAAAUUUAAUUUUCAAUUUCAUUUUAAAAUUUACUUUGGAAGGUUGUUAAGGGAGAAGAAUGCACAUGCACUGCCAAGUAUACAUGAAUUGUUUCACCCGUUAGUCAAAGCUUCUCAUCGGCAAUACGACACAUUAAAAUCAAAUAAAUCUUGAAGAUUUUUCAUCAUCUUAUCUCUAUAAAACCGGGAUUCUACUUUACCACAAGAAGCACCACUUGUUCAUGCCCAAAGAGAAAGCUUAGAAAAUACUGGUGAGUUUGUGUAGCGAAACGUCAACUGAUCAUGGCUGAAAGAAUAUUGAAUUUGAAAAUCAGAUUGGAAUAUUUUUGUUGUUGCUUGCUUUCUCGGGUGAGUGGCUUCCAUGCUAUACUUGUCAAGUGAGUAGUCGUUUGCAGGUUUAACCUUUGCUUCGUUGUCUGUUCGACCUUGAACAUUAAGAAAACUUCUCACAAACCCUAGUUUAUAUAUUUUAAAUACAUAUAAUAUGAUCUAAACAUACUAAAUAAUAUGAUUCAAUUAUGUUUCGAAUUUCAAAUACAAAGUAUGAGAUUCAGAUACUUUGAACUCUCAAAUCUCAAGAGUUAACGAAGUUCAUAUCAGAAUUCUUUUCAUAUAAGGAUCUUCGUGAAUUCCCCAUCAUGAUUCUUCUUCUUUAAUCUUCUCUUCUCUUGGAAAAAGUGCUUCCACAAUUCUCUCUCUCUCUCUAUUUAUGUGCUAUGAGAAGUUUUAUACAAGUGCAUACAUAUAUGUGUGUGUGUGUGUGUGUGUGUGUGUGUGUAUGUAUAUAUGGUAUGUUCAUGUAUGUAUUUUUGUAGUAUUUGUGUCGUAGUUGUAGUACGGUUAGCUGGGAAGAAAACUUGUGCUUUGAACAAGCUGUAAUUGCAAUUCUGCGUAUGACUUUCUGGUGCACUCAAAUUUUUGCUAGAAUAUGAAAAGAGAAAACAAGUAAGCUUGCUAGCGUUCAUUGAAUCCAAGGAUUUUCAUAUUACAGUUAUUCCUUAUAAGUUUAGAGUAAGCCAGCUAGCCUUAAUUGAAUCCAUACAUGAAGAUUAAUUGAUUAUUUAGAAACUAGAUUGAAACCUUUCAUGAUCUUUGCUUAUUGUGGCUCUGUGUUUGUAUGCAUAUUAUCCUUUUCUAAGUCUCUAAUUCAUUUGUACGAUACUAAGCUAGAGUUCGAGUUAAAAGAAAUGCAUCUUAGAAUUUGUUUUCCUAGAAAGAAUUAAAGGGCAAAUUUUGAUAAUAUAAGCUUUAUUUUGAGUUUUCAAGCCUAACUGAGGUAGAUAAUUAGUUGGUGGAAUUUCUCUUUCUUCUCCCUUCCACUUCAACAUUUUGUAUUUAACUAUUUAUCAGGCAGUGGGGGCUUUUAGGGGUUACACAUUUGAAUAAAUCUAGAUUCGAUUCAUUCAAUAAUACUUAAUGCAUUAAUAAUAGAUACAAAUACGAGUAUUAAUACUUUUUUGUCAUUGUAAAUAUAAAAUAAUACUUAAUCACGUGAUAAUACGUCAAUAUUUAUAUACAUAUUGUUAAUACAUAUAGUAUUAUUACUCAAUACAUUUCCCUCCUCUCCCCCCCCUUCCCCCAACCCCCUGCAUCAGGUGACAAAUUAGGUCAAAAGUCUAGGAAAUUUAACCAUUACCUUAUCUACCUUGAUUAAAUCAAGUAAUAUACUACAAUUAGAAUGCAUUUAUAAUAUUAAUAAUAUUCAUAAUCCUACUUAAAUCUAAUUUGAAUUUCAAAGCGAUCAAAUUGAGCUUUCCUUUAACAUAUAUAAGAGUUUUCUAUUCGCAAACACUUUUGUACAAUGAGGUAUAUGGCAAUUUAGAUUCUAAUUUCUGUGGCUUUAGUUCAUGCAUGCAUGUGUUUGUGUCGUAUGAAAGAAGCCAAAUUUCUUUUCAUUUCAAUUCUACUUCUGUUUUCAUGGGCGAGAUGAGACAUUCACAAAAAAAGCUUUAAUUUUUAGAGAGUGACACUGGCACAAAAGGUUAGAUUUGUGUACUUACGUAUAAAAGUUUUUUGUUUCGGAAUAUUUUUGGUUAAUAUAUGGACAAAUAUAUCUAUCUGGUUGGUGGACCUACAUAUCGAAGCAAUUUCACCAAAAAAACUAUAAUUUGCUGUGAAUGUUUAGCUCAAAUUAGUUGCCAGCAAAUUUAUCUUUUUUUAUAAUUCUUCUUUUUUAGUUUUUUUUUUUUUUUUUUUUAUCACUGAUGAUCCUUGUUCUUCUUUUUUGAUAAUUCUUCUUCUUUAGUAAUUCCUUCUUUUUAACCUUUGGCAACUCCUCUUCUUUUUUUCUAACAAAGUCAGUGUUUAUUGAACGAGUCAACCAUAAUAGUCUUGCCCUUAUUCGGCCUCAGUCAACCUACAUUUUCUCUUAACUCAAGAACAAAUGCACCAAUCAUUAUGAGCUUCGUGCUACUCUUCCCAAGAAUCAUAUUAGAUUCUGGGCAUCCCAAUUUGAUUGAACGGGAUGACAAUAUUAGGAAGACAUUUCAAAUACCACAAAUAGGUUAUUUGACAUUCCAGUUUUAUAUAUCUCUAUCUUCAUAUCUGAGAAUCAAUAAAGUUUGACUUAAUUAAAUCAUUAAGAAGUUAUAGAUAGAUGCAUAUUCUUAGAUGACUUUUUUUCUUUUUUUUCUUCCCCAACGAUCCAUUUUCUUCUUUUUCUCUAACAAACAAUUUAAACAUAUCAUAUUUAAUAAAAUUUAUUCAAGGUCGAACCGACAAUGAAGGUCAGGCGUAAAGCAAGGGACUGUUCAUUUGACAGGGGUUUUGCAUGGAACUCAACACUCUCAAUUCUUUGAGCCAAGUGAUAAAAUUUCGCUUCAAAGGUAAAACUGAAGAUGAAAUUAUGAUCUCUUAUAAUCUCCAUUAUUUCUUCACUUUUUUCUUUUGUCAUUUUAGUUGUCCUGCAGGUGCCCUAUCUACGCCAUCUCAGCUGUAAGAUAGCAUUAACUUUCAUUAAUUAUGCCUCAUCUCUCGAUUUGUAAAUGUAUAAAUCGAUUCAAUAAUACGAAUUCAUGUACUUGUGUCA